GGGCCCGCACAAGCGGUGGAGCAUGUGGUUUAAUUCGAUGCAACGCGAAGAACCUUACCAGGGCUUGACAUACUACAAAUUCUUUUGAGAAAGAGAAGUGCCUUCGGGAAUGUAGAUACAGGUGGUGCAUGGCUGUCGUCAGCUCGUGUCGUGAGAUGUUGGGUUAAGUCCCGCAACGAGCGCAACCCUUAUUUUUAGUUACCAAUUCGUUGGGUUUUUUAGAAAGACUGCCGGUGACAAACCGGAGGAAGGUGAGGAUGACGUCAAGUCAGCAUGCCCCUUAUGUCCUGGGCUACACACGUGCUACAAUGGUUAAGACAAAGAGUCGCAAGCUCGCGAGAGUUAGCUAAUCUAUUAAACUUAGCCUAAGUUCAGAUUGUAGGCUGCAACUCGCCUACAUGAAGUUGGAAUCGCUAGUAAUCGC
rnacentral:rRNA from 1 species